GCCGCAGCCCCACUCUCCUCCGGAGCCCCGGGUGAGGCAGCGGCGGCAGCGGGGCCGCCGCGGAGCCCGCCGGGCGGCAGUUACCUUGAGCCGCCGUGCAGCCGCCUGGUUCACCCGCUCCACCACCGACUGUAGCGCCUUCCCAACCUCGUCCGACAUUGCUACUUUCCACAUAGCGUCAGGCGGCGACGGCACACGACGUCAAGGAGUUGUCGGCGUUGACGUCAGUCGCCUUUCAAACUGGAAAGACACUUACCACCAUGCCGACGCUGUUCUGUUGUCCUCCAGGGCCCAUCUCCAGAGAGUCAUCCAUCACCAAGUUCAUAAAUGGGUCGAACCCUCGCAGGAUGCCCUGCACGUGUCUGCCUCCAUUCAACUUCACUAAAGGUGCAGCAAAACGUAAAAAGAAGAAAAAUGAAGAGGAACAAAAGUAGAGACAGCGGGGGGCUAUACAGAAGUUUCUGUCGGGCAGCCGCCCGACAGCUGUAAACCUGCUAGUGUUAGCAGAGCCAGAGGCCGAGCCAGGCCCGGAGACGCGGCCCGAAGACGCAGCGGAAGACGCUUCGGCGCCUUCAACAUCAGCGCCAUCACAGGAGAAUGACAAAAUGAUGGAAGAACAGCAGCCGGCCAGAAAAAGUGAGCCCAAUAUAGUUUUGACGGAGCCUCUAGACCCGGAAAGGGUAUUGACAAGCUAUCCAUCUGAUCCUGCAAAGUGGGACCAAAUUGACGACAGGAUGCGUGAGUACUUUGCACUAAACCAUCCCUGUCAAAAUAUUGGAGAUUUCUCUGCAUCACAGAGAAAAUAUGGAGACAUUAACCGAAGCUUAACUAAGGAACAUUACCGAUUGCAAACUGUUCAGGAGAAAGAUCAUUUUCUUUGUUGAAACGAGUGAAAACAUACCGGAGAGCAACAGUAACAGAAAAAAAACUGAAUGCCUUUGCCCUGUUGGCAAUUGAGAAUGGAUUUACAACCUCCCUGGAUUUUGAAGACAUUAUCGAGGACUUCGCCUCAUCAAAACUUAGGAGAAAGCAUCUGUAAAGAUCGUGAUGAUGCUGUCAAGACGUGUUUCUGCUGCGAUGGAGGCCUGCGAUGCUGGAAGGCUGAAGAUUAUCCCUGAGUGGAGCAUGCUAAAUGGUUUCCUCAGUGUGAAUAUGGGCUCCAGGAGAAGGGACAAGAAUUUUUGUUUACCCAAUUCAGGCUCGUUUUCCUUGUCUGUCUGAGCAGAGUGCAGUCUAGUAAAGCACACCGUCCAGAGAAACAUCCAGACCAGUGGAGAGAACUGCUGAACAGUCCAGACCAGGAGCUGAGCUGCUGAGUGUUGAAUACCAGAAAAUGGAAGAGAGGUGAUGGUUGUCCAUGAAAAUAAACAUCUUUCUCACUACAGCACA